ensembl:snRNA U2 U2 spliceosomal RNA
AUCGCUUCUCGGCCUUUUGGCUAAGAUCAAGUGUAAAAUAUUACUAAAAAUAUCUAACUCCCUUCUAUUCCCCCCAAAUUUACUUUGAAUAAGAUUUUAAACUGAGCAGCAGUAAGGCAGUUUAAAACAAAGAUGCU